rfam:Triticum aestivum genome assembly, contig: Triticum_aestivum_CS42_TGACv1_scaffold_094031_2AL
AUACUAUUCCCUCUGUCCGGAAAUACUUGUCAUCAAAAUGAAUAAAAGGAGAUGUAUCUAGACGUAUUUUAGUUCUAGAUACAUCCUUUUUUAUCUAUUUUAAAGACAAGUAUUUUCAGACGAAGGAAGUAUAUG